rnacentral:tRNA from 1 species
CAGAGAAUAGUUUAUGUUAAAAUAUUAAUUUUGGAGAUUAAUGAAAAAAGUGUUUUUUUUCUCUGA